rnacentral:lncRNA from 1 species
GGUGCUUAGUUCUACUGAUCAUAAAAUGCUCAAAAUCAUUUAUGUCCCAUUUAUCUAACCCACAGCUACAGUCUUAUUAUUGUUAAAGUGCAAAGAACUUGGAUCUUGGAAUUCAACAAGUCACAGCAAUAUUAUUUUCUUUCAUCUAUGCAGGUCCAGCAAAUAUUUUGCAGGCCUCCCAUGAAAAACAGAGACAGUAAGUUGCUAGAAUGGAAGAAGCAAGUGCUCAGCACCUCUGCUGUAAUUAUGGUCUGGACUCCUGAGGUGGGAAAUUCGCAGAUGUGCUGUGUGCCCCUUCCAGUUUGCUUGCCUCCCUUCCCAUGGGAACCAACCUUUGGAAGAGGAAUGGAAGACUGGAAAGUACCUAUGUCUCUUUGCAACAUGGAUUCAUGAAUCUGGAAAGUUUUCCUAACUCCCACUCUUUACCUCCAGCAGUUAGUGUCUGAGGCAUGUAAGCCCUAUAUCACUGCCGGCGUUCCUCAGGUUUUGGUCUUGUCUACCCUAUACCAUCAAGGUACCCAUGUGAAAGCCUCUAGUGUGAAUAGUAUAGGCACACACACACACAUUUCCAAAUAUCCUUCAUGCUUUCUCUUUCUAUGGAUAUUUCUCUGAAUGAAACCUCACCUCAGCAAAUAGUCACAAAAAAUGAAUAGCAGUGGUCAUAGUCAUUGAGCGAACUCCUCUUUUGUGCUAUAACAAACACUGACUAGCACUGUUCAGUUUUUUACCCCAAGGCUGUCUGGGUCUAUGGGAAUUUUGUCCAUACAUGGACUACAGAAUUUGGUCCAUAACUCUCACUCCAGGAACAAUGGAUUAAUCCAAAACUCUAAAACAACCUAUUUUAACUGUGACAUAUGCUUAUUUCAUUAAAAAAUUUCCAAAGAGGUCACUUUGUAGAAGAAGAAAAAAGGUUUGAAAAGGUGCUGCCUGAAAGGUUAAAAUUUACAUAAGUCCAGCAUUAUUAUCAUUAUUAAUAACUUUGCAUACUUCUCACAUGCCUCAAAGUGCUUUACAGAAUUAAAUCCUACCCAUUUUGAAGGAAGUGCGAAAAGUCC